GGAAUCUUGCGCAAUGGGCGAAAGCCUGACGCAGCAACGCCGCGUGCGGGAUGAAGGCCUUCGGGUUGUAAACCGCUUUUACCAGGAAGGAAAAUGACAGUACCUGGAGAAUAGGGUGCGGCCAACUACGUGCCAGCAGCCGCGGUGACACGUAGGCACCAAGCGUUGUCCGGAUUUAUUGGGCGUAAAGAGCUCGUAGGCGGUUCAGUAAGUCGGGUGUGAAAACUCUGGGCUCAACUCAGAGACGCCACCCGAUACUGCUGUGACUUGAGUCCGGUAGGGGAGUGGGGAAUUCCUGGUGUAGCGGUGAAAUGCGCAGAUAUCAGGAGGAACACCAAUGACGAAGGCACCACUCUGGGCCGAGACUGACGCUGAGGAGCGAAAGCGUGGGUAGCAAACAGGAUUAGAUACCCUGGUAGUCCACGCCGUAAACGGUGGGCACUAGGUGUGGGUUCCAACCAACGGAAUCCGCGCCGGCGCUAACGCAUUAAGUGCCCCGCCUGGGGAGUACGGCCGCAAGGUUAAAACUCAAAGGAAUUGACGG
rnacentral:rRNA from 1 species